rnacentral:rRNA from 1 species
AAGUGAAUAGUGAAACCUGGUGGCUCAACCAUACAGACUAUUAUUCAAACUCACUAACUCGAGAAUGGUAGAGGUAACUGGAAUUUCUUGUGUAGGAGUGAAAUCCGUAGAUAUAAGAAGGAACACCAACGGCGUAGGCAGGUUACUGGACCAUUUCUGACACUGAGGCACGAAAGCGUGGGGAGCGAACCGGAUUAGAUACCCGGGUAGUCCACACCGUAAACUAUGGAUACUA